CUUAAUGUCCCUGAGUAGAACCGAGGGAUUUGAAAAUGAGGCUAUCACUUUGCAAAAGGGAGCCAUCUUCCCCAUCUGUAAUAAGAAUAAUAAGCAAUUAAUAUUUUAUAAAACUUCGACAGAGCAUGUUCAGCAGCAAUUAUCAGGCCUGUAACACAAGGCCAAGGAAGAUGAAGGAAUUAGGAUGAUCAAGGUUCUGCCAUCUCUUCUCCUACAGUUCCUCUAGCAAACAUAAAACUCGGAACAGAUUGGAGACAUGGGUGUCGUGAUGUAAGAAGAACUUGAAAACAUAGGACAAUAUCACAGGAGAUGGAAACUGCGAAUGUGGGGAAAUUGCAGAAUCCUGAACAUUUAUUGAUAGGCCAUAAACACGAUGGACUAUGUACAAUGGACGAUUCAUUCCUGGCCAACGAUAAGACUAUUCAGAACGCUACUCUCUGGGCCCCAAAGGCUAUAAAAUGUCACGAACUGAGAGCCUUGGGACAAAAUGAGUUUCAAAGAAGAAUUUCCUGAAAAUAAGAAAGAUAGCAUCACCCAAAGGAAUUGAUAGCAUGAAAGAAAUACCGUAGUUAUUUAAGAUGGUGACAGAGUCUAGGAGUUGAAGGUAACUGAAAAGACUAUAUUAAGAUGAAAAAGGAAAGAUAAGACAGAAGGGUAAGGGUGGCAAAGACCCUGAAAGUAAUGAAGAUGGAUUUCGGCUGGACCUAGGAGCCAACAUGAAAUGAGAAUGUGGAUUUAAGAGGAUACAUCGCUUGAUUUGAAGAAUGGAAGUUAUGACUGAGGUUAGCAACACGAUACUGGAGAGCGGG